AUUGAACGCUGGCGGCAUGCCUUACACAUGCAAGUCGAACGGUAACGGGCCUUCGGGUGCCGACGCGUGGCGAACGGGUGAGUAAUACAUCGGAACGUGCCCGAUCGUGGGGGAUAACGAGGCGAAAGCUUUGCUAAUACCGCAUACGAUCUACGGAUGAAAGCAGGGGACCGCAAGGCCUUGCGCGGACGGAGCGGCCGAUGGCCGAUUAGGUAGUUGGUGGGAUAAAAGCUUACCAAGCCGACGAGCUGUAGCUGGUCUGAGAGGAUGAUCAGCCACACUGGGACUGAGACACGGCCCAGACUCCUACGGGAGGCAGCAGUGGGGAAUUUUGGACAAUGGGCGCAAGCCUGAUCCAGCCAUGCCGCGUGCAGGAUGAAGGCCUUCGGGUUGUAAACUGCUUUUGUACGGAACGAAAAGCCUUCUUUUAAUACAGGAGGGUCAUGACGGUACCGUAAGAAUAAGCACCGGCUAACUACGUG
rnacentral:rRNA from 1 species